CACGUAGGGACCAAGCGUUGUCCGGAUUUAUUGGGCGUAAAGAGCUCGUAGGCGGUCGUGUAAGUCGGGUGUGAAAUCUCCAGGCUCAACCUGGAGGGGCCACCCGAUACUGCUCGACUCGAGCCCGGUAGGGGAGUGGGGAAUUCCUGGUGUAGCGGUGAAAUGCGCAGAUAUCAGGAGGAACACCGGUGGCGAAGGCGCCACUCUGGGCCGGUACUGACGCUGAGGAGCGAAAGCGUGGGUAGCAAACAGG
rnacentral:rRNA from 1 species